rnacentral:lncRNA from 1 species
CAGCCACCAAUCACACCCCUCGCCCUUUCCUGACCCGCGCCGCAUCCACGCUCGCCCUUCCAGCACGGAGCAAAUCCGCCCUAGGCAGUGCCGCAAGGCCACCAUCCUAGCGAUAGAGACGGCGUGGCGUCGAGAAGGCUCAAGCAGCCUAGGCAUUUGUGCACGGCAUCCUGGUGGCGUGCACGGUUCGUGCAUGGCCUGAACAGUGGCGGCGACGGCCACUAGGUACCGCUCCUCCAGCCUUAGGCAUUGUUU